CUAUAGUCUACUCCUCCAGACAAGGGGAGGGGAAGGGAGGGAAGGGAGGAGAGGGAAGCAUCCAUGGCCGUGGGCGGCCUUCUCCGGGGCCUCGUUUCUCCGGCGGGGGGUGUCGCCACCUGGCUGCCAUGCCACGAGCUCUUCGCCUCCUGGCACCACUGGCUCCCCUCGCUCCCGCGCCUCCGCCCGCCCGCCUCCGACGGAUUCAAGCUUCUCCUCGUGCUGCUCCUCUUCUCCGCCGCCCUGGCCGAGGUCCGCUACAUCGCCUCCUCCUCCAUGGUGCCCACGCUCCGGCCAGGCGACCAAGCCGUCGCCGAGAAGGUUACAUACUUAUUCCGGAGGCCAUCUAUUGGGGAUAUAGUGUUCUUCAAAGUGCCGACGGCCGUGCAGAACUAUGGCGUCAAUAAGGAUGUUGUAUUUAUUAAGAGGGUAUUGGCAACACCUGGAGAUUUCAUCGAGGUUCGCAAGGGGCAGCUUAUUGUAAAUGGUGUUGCACAAAAGGAGCAUUACACAGCAACCCAUGCGUUGUACACAAUGGAAGCAAUGGUCCAGGGAUUUUAAAGUGCUGUUAACAAAACGGUUAACAGAUGUGAUGAGAGAAUUUUCAUUCUCCACGAGAUGAUGAUCAAAAGUGGACUGGCUGCUCCAUGUUGUUGACUUCUUGAGUGCCUUGUUGUAAUCAGCAGGCCUCAGAUGGUGGAUGAUCUCUUCCUUCCAUCUUUCCUCACUGGCCGCAUACCUGGAUCCUCCACUGAAACUAUUCAUACUCCUGCAGCGCCUACCUGAAGGUCAUGUGUUCGUCAUGGGUGACAACCGGAAUAACAGCUGUGAUUCUCGUGCCUGGGGCCCUCUUCCCAUUGGCAACAUUGUUGGAAGGUACAUGACGUCCUUUACAAGAUCCUCGUUCCAGUAACUGAGGUGAAGAGAUGCCACUCAUAAUCUCCAACGUUCCUGACGGCUGAUAUUGCUUCGUACCAAUGUAGUUACCGAGUUGUUCUGAGCCUGGGGCCAGGCCCGUAUCUUUCAAUUUAGGAGGCCCGUAUCUGUCAACUUGUGUUGUGUGAGGACUUGCCCUCAAGUAUGCUGUAGCAUUGUUGUUGUAUGUGUUGGCCUUUCUCCCAGCUUCUCCCAGCUGUGGAAGUCAAAGAGGUUUACCUCUGCCGCUUGCUGUUGGCAAAUGCCCUCAGGCUGUCGUGUGCUGAGCUUAUGAUUGGCAACCUGUUGAUUGGUAGAACCUGCAGAAUGUAUCUAAAGCUUGCAAGAGGUUACCUUAGGUGAUGAAGCUUAUGGGCAUUGGUAGAUGUCAGAAUGCUUGAAUGCAUUUUGCAUCAAAACUUUGGACA